rnacentral:rRNA from 1 species
AUGCCACCUCAUCAAAGGUCCACCACUUCAUGCAUGAGAAAAGGUUUUCCAUUAUUAGUUGAUCUCAUGCACACCUUCCACCUCACCACACAUGCCACUUCAUCAAAGGUCCACUCAACAUGUAUGAAAAAAAGCUUUCCAUUACGUUAUGCCAUUUAUAUUCAAAAUAUUUUCAGACUACGCAAUAACCAAAUACAGUAUAUAAUAUUUAUUUUUAGCUUUAGUUCAUAUAUUAUUAAUUCGACGAUGGAAGCUUCAGACAAUCAAAUCAAUGAAAUAUAUUGCAAUCAAUUCCCGCAGCAACGGGCGGGGUAA